AAGCGUGCACGGUGGAUGCCUUGGCAGUCAGAGGCGAUGAAAGACGUGACAGCCUGCGAAAAGCGUCGGGGAGGCGGCAAUAUCCUGUGAUCCGGCGAUAUCUGAAUGGGGAAACCCACUUGUCAUAAGACAGGUAUCGUAAAUUUAUUUACGAGGCAAACCGGGAGAAGUGAAACAUCUCAGUAACCCGAGGAAAAGACAUCAAUAGAGAUUCCCCUAGUAGCGGCGAGCGAACGGGGAGGAGCCGACUGAUUAUAAUUUAGAGGAAUGACUUGGAAAGGUCAAUCGUAGAGGGUGAUAAUCCCGUACUCGAAAGGUUAUAAGAAGCAUAUUAAGUAGGGCGGAACACGAGAAAUUCUGUCUGAAGAUGGGGGGACCAUCCUCCAAGGCUAAAUACUCCUGACUGACCGAUAGUGAACCAGUACCGUGAGGGAAAGGCGAAAAGAACCCCUGUGAGGGGAGUGAAAUAGAUCCUGAAACCGUGUGCAUACAAGCAGUCGGAGCGGACAUGUUCCGUGACGGCGUACCUUUUGUAUAAUGGGUCAGCGACUUACAUUCAGUGGCAAGCUUAACCGAGUAGGGAAGGCGCAGGGAAACCGAGUCCGAACAGGGCGAAUAGAGUCGCUGGGUGUAGACCCGAAACCAGGUGAUCUAUCCAUGGCCAGGAUGAAGGUGCCGUAACAGGUACUGGAGGUCCGAACCCACUACUGUUGCAAAAGUAGGGGAUGAGCUGUGGAUAGGGGUGAAAGGCCAAUCAAACACCGUGAUAGCUGGUUCUCCCCGAAAUGCAUUUAGGUGCAGCGUUACGUGUUUCUUGCCGGAGGUAGAGC
rnacentral:rRNA from 1 species